GAUGAACGCUAGCUACAGGCUUAACACAUGCAAGUCGAGGGGCAUCAGGAAGAGAGCUUGCUUUCUUUGCUGGCGACCGGCGCACGGGUGAGUAACACGUAUCCAACCUGCCCUUUACUCGGGGAUAGCCUUUCGAAAGAAAGAUUAAUACCCGAUAGCAUAAUGAUUCCGCAUGGUUUCAUUAUUAAAGGAUUCCGGUAAAGGAUGGGGAUGCGUUCCAUUAGGUUGUUGGUGAGGUAACGGCUCACCAAGCCUUCGAUGGAUAGGGGUUCUGAGAGGAAGGUCCCCCACAUUGGAACUGAGACACGGUCCAAACUCCUACGGGAGGCAGCAGUGAGGAAUAUUGGUCAAUGGGCGGUAGCCUGAACCAGCCAAGUAGCGUGAAGGAUGAAGGCUCUAUGGGUCGUAAACUUCUUUUAUAUAAGAAUAAAGUGCAGUAUGUAUACUGUUUUGUAUGUAUUAUAUGAAUAAGGAUCGGCUAACUCCGUGCCAGCAGCCGCGGUAAUACGGAGGAUCCGAGCGUUAUCCGGAUUUAUUGGGUUUAAAGGGAGCGUAGGUGGACUGGUAAGUCAGUUGUGAAAGUUUGCGGCUCAACCGUAAAAUUGCAGUUGAUACUGUCAGUCUUGAGUACAGUAGAGGUGGGCGGAAUUCGUGGUGUAGCGGUGAAAUGCUUAGAUAUCACGAAGAACUCCGAUUGCGAAGGCAGCUCACUGGACUGCAACUGACACUGAUGCUCGAAAGUGUGGGUAUCAAACAGG
rnacentral:rRNA from 1 species